AAUCGUCGGUCUCCGUAGGUGAACCUGCGGAGGGAUCAUUACACAAAUAUGAAGGCGGGCUGGAACCUCUCGGGGUUACAGCCUUGCUGAAUUAUUCACCCUUGUCUUUUGCGUACUUCUUGUUUCCUUGGUGGGUUCGCCCACCACUAGGACAAACAUAAACCUUUUGUAAUUGCAAUCAGCGUCAGUAACAAAUUAAUAAUUACAACUUUCAACAACGGAUCUCUUGGUUCUGGCAUCGAUGAAGAACGCAGCGAAAUGCGAUAAGUAGUGUGAAUUGCAGAAUUCAGUGAAUCAUCGAAUCUUUGAACGCACAUUGCGCCCUUUGGUAUUCCAAAGGGCAUGCCUGUUCGAGCGUCAUUUGUACCCUCAAGCUUUGCUUGGUGUUGGGCGUCUUGUCUCUAGCUUUGCUGGAGACUCGCCUUAAAGUAAUUGGCAGCCGGCCUACUGGUUUCGGAGCGCAGCACAAGUCGCACUCUCUAUCAGCAAAGGUCUAGCAUCCAUUAAGCCUUUUUUUCAACUUUUGACCUCGGAUCAGGUAGGGAUACCCGCUGAACUUAAGCAUAUCAGAC
rnacentral:rRNA from 1 species